AGCUCGAUCAUGCCUGGGAUUGAACGCUGGCGGAUGCUUUACACAUGCAAGUCGAACGGCAGCACGGACUUCGGUCUGGUGGCGAGUGGCGAACGGGUGAGAAUGUAUCGGAACGUGCCUAGUAGCGGGGAUAACUACGCGAAAGCGUAGCUAAUACCGCAUACGCCCUUCGGGGGAAAGCGGGGGGACCUUCGGGCCUGGCACUAUUAGAGCGGCCGAUAUCGGAUUAGCUAGUUGGUGGGGUAACGGCUCACUAAGGCGACGAUCCGUAGCUGGUUUGAGAGGACGACCAGCCACACGCUGGGACUGAGACACGGCCCAGACUCCCACGGAGGCAGCAGUGGGGAAUUUUGGACAAUGGGGGAAACCUGAUCCAGCCAUCCCGCGUGUGCGAUGAAGGCUCGGGUUGUAAAAGACCCUGGCAGGAAAGAAACGGCACGGGAUAAUACCCCGUGCAACUGACGGUACCUGCAGAAUAAGCACCGGCUAACUACGUGCCAGCAGCCGCGGUAAUACGUAGGGUGUAAGCGUUAAUCGGAAUUACUGGGCGUAAAAGCGUGCGCAGGCGGUUCGGAAAGAAAGAUGUGAAAUCCCAGAGCUUAACUUUGGAACUGCAUUUUUAACUACCGAGCUAGAGGUCAGAGGGAGGUGGAAUUCUGCGUGUAGCAGUGAAAUGCGUAGAUAUGCGGAGGAACACCGAUGGCGAAGGCAGCUCUGGGAUAACACUGACGCUCAUGCACGAAAGCGUGGGGAGCAAACAGGAUUAGAUACCCUGGUAGUCCACGCCCUAAACGAUGUCAACUAGCUGUUGGGGCCUUCGGGCCUUGUAGCGCAGCUAACGCGUGAAGUUGACCGCCUGGGAGUACGGUCGCAAGAUUAAAACUCAAAGGAAUUGACGGGGACCCGCACAGCGGUGGAUGAUGUGGAUUAAUCUGAUGCAACGCGAAAAACCUUACCUACCCUUGACAUGUCUGAAUCCCGAAGAGAUUUGGGAGUGCUCGCAAGAGAACCGAACACAGGUGCUGCAUGGCUGUCAGCUCGUGUCGUGAGAUGCCGGGUUAAGUCCCGCAACGAGCGCAACCCUUUGUCAUUAGUUGCUACGAAAGGGCACUCUAAUGAGACUGCCGGUGACAAACCGGAGGAAGGUGGGAUGACGUCAAGUCCUCAUGGCCCUUAUGGGUAGGGCUUCAUUAUCGUCAUACACAAUGGUCGGGACAGAGGGUCGCCAACCCGCGAGGGGGAGCCAAUCCCAGAAACCCGAUCGUAGUCCGGAUCGCAGCCGCUGACUGCGUGAAGUCGGAAUCGCUAGUAAUCGCGGAUCAGCAUGUCGCGGUGAAUACGUUCCCGGGUCUUGUACACACCGCCCGUCACACCAUGGGAGUGGGUUUUACCAGAAGUAGUUAGCCUAACCGUAAGGAGGGCGAUUACCACGGUAGGAUUCAUGACUGGGGUGAAGUCGCAACAAGGUAA
rnacentral:rRNA from 1 species